AACGAACGCUGGCGGCAUGCCUAACACGUGCAAGUCGAACGAGACCUUCGGGUCUAGUGGCGCACGGGUGCGUAACGCGUGGGAACCUGCCUUUAGGUUCGGAAUAACUCAGAGAAAUUUGAGCUAAUACCGGAUGAUGUCUUCGGACCAAAGAUUUAUCGCCUUUAGAUGGGCCCGCGUUGGAUUAGCUAGUUGGUGGGGUAAAGGCCUACCAAGGCGACGAUCCAUAGCUGGUCUGAGAGGAUGAUCAGCCACACUGGGACUGAGACACGGCCCAGACUCCUACGGGAGGCAGCAGUGGGGAAUAUUGGACAAUGGGCGAAAGCAUGAUACAGCAAUGACGCGUGAGUGAUGAAGGCCUUAGGGUUGUAAAGCUCUUUUACCCGAGAUGAUAAUGACAGUAUCGGGAGAAUAAGCUCCGGCUAACUCCGUG
rnacentral:rRNA from 1 species